AACGAACGCUGGCGGCAGGCUUAACACAUGCAAGUCGAACGCCCCGCAAGGGGAGUGGCAGGCGGGUGAGUAACGCGUGUGAACAUACCCUUUCCUGCGGAAUAGCUCUGGGAAACUGGAAUUAAUACCGCAUACGCCCUACGGGGGCAAGAUUUAUCGGGGAAGGAGUGGCCCGCGUUGGAUUUGCUGGUUGGUGGGGUAAAGGCCUACCAAGGCGACGAUCCAGAGCUGGUCUGAGAGGAUGUUCAGCCACAUUGGGACUCAGACCCGGCCCAAACUCCUACGGGGUGCCGGAGUUGGGAAUAUUGGACAAUGGGCGCAAGCCUGAGCCAGCGAUGCCGCGUGAGUGAUGAAGGCCUUAGGGUUGUAAAGCUCUUUCACCGAUGAAGAUAAUGACGGUAGUCGGAGAAGAAGCCCCGGCUAACUUCGUGCCAGCAGCCGCGGUAACAC
rnacentral:rRNA from 1 species